UCUCCGUAGGUGAACCUGCGGAGGGAUCAUUACUGAGUGAGGGCCUCCGGCCCGACCUCCAACCCUUUGAUGUCCGACUCUGUUGCCUCGGGGGCGACCCGGCCUUCGGGCCCGGGGCCCCCCGUGGUCCACUCAACUCUGCAUCUUUGCGUCUGAGUAAACAUUAAAUGAAACAAAACUUUCAACAACGGAUCUCUUGGUUCUG
rnacentral:misc_RNA from 1 species